GAGGAAGAAAGGAAGGAAGGAAGGAAGGAAGGAAGAAAGAAAGAAAGAAAGAAAGAAAGAAAGAAAGAAAGAAAGAAAGAAAGAAAGAAAGAAAGAAAGAAAGAAAGAAAGAAAGAAAGAAAGAAAGAAAGAAAGAAAGAAAGAAAGAAAGAAAGAAAGAAAGAAAGAAAGGAAGGAAGGAAGGAAGGAAGGAAGGAAGGAAGGUGAGGAAGGAAGGAAGGUGAGGAAGGAAGGAAGGAAGGAAGAAAGGAAGAAAGAAAGAAAGAAAGAAAGAAAGAAAGAAAGAAAGAAAGAAAGAAAGAAAGAAAGAAAGAAAGAAAGAAAGAAAGAAAGAAAGAAAGAAAGAAAGAAAGAAAGAAAGAAAGAAAGAAUAUUGGGAUUCUGCUGAAAUACUGUAAUAAUUGGCCAUUGC
rnacentral:lncRNA from 1 species